AUUGAACGCUGGCGGCAGGCCUAACACAUGCAAGUCGGACGGUAGCACAGAGGAGCUUGCUCUUGGGUGACGAGUGGCGGACGGGUGAGUAAUGUCUGGGGAUCUGCCCGAUAGAGGGGGAUAACCACUGGAAACGGUGGCUAAUACCGCAUAACGUCGCAAGACAAAGAGGGGGACCUUCGGGCCUCUCACUAUCGGAUGAACCCAGAUGGGAUUAGCUAGUAGGCGGGGUAAUGGCCCACCUAGGCGACGAUCCCUAGCUGGUCUGAGAGGAUGACCAGCCACACUGGAACUGAGACACGGUCCAGACUCCUACGGGAGGCAGCAGUGGGGAAUAUUGCACAAUGGGCGCAACUGGAUGCAGCCAUGCCGCGUGUAUGAAGAAGGCCUUCGGGUUGUAAAGUACUUUCAGCGGGGAGGAAGGCGACGGGGUUAAUAACCCUGUCGAUUGACGUUACCCGCAGAAGAAGCACCGGCUAACUCCGUGCCAGCAGCCGCGGUAAUACGGAGGGUGCAAGCGUUAAUCGGAAUUACUGGGCGUAAAGCGCACGCAGGCGGUCUGUUAAGUCAGAUGUGAAAUCCCCGGGCUUAACCUGGGAACUGCAUUUGAAACUGGCAGGCUUGAGUCUUGUAGAGGGGGGUAGAAUUCCAGGUGUAGCGGUGAAAUGCGUAGAGAUCUGGAGGAAUACCGGUGGCGAAGGCGGCCCCCUGGACAAAGACUGACGCUCAGGUGCGAAAGCGUGGGGGAGCAAACAGGAUUAGAUACCCUGGUAGUCCACGCCGUAAACGAUGUCGACUUGGAGGUUGUUCCCUUGAGGAGUGGCUUCCGGAGCUAACGCGUUAAGUCGACCGCCUUGGGGAGUACGGCCGCAAGGUUAAAACUCAAAUKAAUUUACGGGGGCCCGCACAAACGGUGGAGCAUGUKGKUUAAUUCGAUGCAACGCGAAGAACCUUACCUACUCUUGACAUCCACGGAAUUUGGCAGAGAUGCCUUAGUGCCUUCGGGAACCGUGAGACAGGUGCUGCAUGGCUGUCGUCAGCUCGUGUUGUGAAAUGUUGGGUUAAGUCCCGCAACGAGCGCAACCCUUAUCCUUUGUUGCCAGCGAUUCGGUCGGGAACUCAAAGGAGACUGCCGGUGAUAAACCGGAGGAAGGUGGGGAUGACGUCAAGUCAUCAUGGCCCUUACGAGUAGGGCUACACACGUGCUACAAUGGCGCAUACAAAGAGAAGCGACCUCGCGAGAGCAAGCGGACCUCACAAAGUGCGUCGUAGUCCGGAUCGGAGUCUGCAACUCGACUCCGUGAAGUCGGAAUCGCUAGUAAUCGUGGAUCAGAAUGCCACGGUGAAUACGUUCCCGGGCCUUGUACACACCGCCCGUCACACCAUGGGAGUGGGUUGCAAAAGAAGUAGGUAGCUUAACCUUCGGGAGGGCGCUUACCACUUUGUGAUUCAUGACUGGGGUGAAGUCGUAACAAGGUAACCGUAGGGGAACCUGC
rnacentral:rRNA from 1 species